UGAUACUAUAGUUUGCCUCUCUCUCCACCAGCUAACACUAUCCACACCCUUCUGAUAAAUAAAUUAUAUGCAACCCCUUCUUAAUACUUUUUUUUUCAUAUUACUCUCUCUAGAUAAUUUCCCCUACUAUUAUUAAAAUUUAAAAUAAUUUUAUCAUGUAAAAUUUUAAAAUUUAUACAGAGUUAACUCUAUUACAACUCUUCAAAUUCAAAGAAAGCUAUUGAAAUUUAUCCCCUCCAAUUUACAAAGGUCAUCGUCGUAACACAGUGCAUAUGCCAGACGUCACCCUUUAAUAACGGGCUAAUUGUUGUGAGUUGCUAAUUUGCUGUGCAUUUCUUUUAGGGAAACACUUUCAGCUCCCUUUUAGCUCAAAGAAUAGCAACCAUAACAAGUGUUAAAACAAGAG
rnacentral:misc_RNA from 1 species